rnacentral:rRNA from 1 species
UACAGAGGUCUCAAGCGUUGUUCGGAUUCAUUGGGCGUAAAGGGUGCGUAGGCGGCGCGGUAAGUCGGGUGUGAAAUCUCGGAGCUUAACUCCGAAACUGCAUUCGAUACUGCCGUGCUUGAGGACUGGAGAGGAGACUGGAAUUUACGGUGUAGCGGUGAAAUGCGUAGAUAUCGUAAGGAAGACCAGUGGCGAAGGCGGGUCUCUGGGCCGACACUGACGCUGAAACGCGAAAGCUAGGGAGCGAACGGG